rnacentral:rRNA from 1 species
AUGCAUGGGGAGUUCAUUAAGCUUCUAGAUGCUAAUGUUCAACCUCCCGGUGUUUACAAAUGGAAGUGGUUUGGUGAUGCACUUGGAGCACUAGAUGGUUGCCAUGUAGAUGUUUCAGUUCCUUUGGCUGCCCAAGGGAGGUACAGGAAUAGAAAGCAAAAUAUCACUACUAACAUGCAUGGUGUGGUGGACUGGAACAUGAAAUUUCUGUAUGUCUUACCUGGCUGGGAGGGUUCCGCUUCCGACUCUAGAGUCCUCCGUGACUCCAUGUGA